rnacentral:ncRNA from 1 species
GGUCGCAAUCGGGGGUGCCCAAAAUUACGGGCUGAGAUCAUACCCUUUGAACCUGAUCCGGGUAGUGCCGGCGAAGGGAUUUCAGAGUAUUUUC